rnacentral:misc_RNA from 1 species
AAGUCGUAACAAGGUAACCGUAGGUGAACCUGCGGUUGGAUCAUUAUUGAAUCUUUUUAUCAGACUGAAAUUUAUUUUCAGACCCUGACAAAGGAUAGGAAACUAUCCAAUACAUUCAUGUGAACUUGUUUUAGGCUGAAUAAGCCAAAGUUUUUGGUGGUUCUUUUUUUUUUAAUCCUAUAUUCUUAUAGGAUAAAAGAGGAGGCCACCUUUUACUAUAAACAUUUUUAUUUAUAUUUUUUUUUACAUUCAUUUUUAUGAAAAAGAAAAAAAAAACAACUUUUGACAACGGAUCUCUAGGCUCUC